GACGAACGCUGGCGGCGUGCUUAACACAUGCAAGUCGAACGGAAAGGCCCUGCUUUUGUGGGUUGCUCGAUUGCCGAACGGGUGAGUAACACGUGAGUAACCUGCCCUUGACUUUGGGAUAACUUCAGGAAACUGGGGCUCAUACCGGAUAUGAUCUCCUGCUGCAUGGUGGGCGUUGGAAAGUUUCGGCGGUUGGGGCUGGACUGGCGGGUUAUCCGCUUGUUGGUGGGGUAGUGGCUUACCAAGGGUUUGACGGGUAGCCGGCCUGAGAGGGUGACCGGGGACAUGGGGACUGAGAGACGGAGCAGACGGCUACGGGAGGCAGCAGGGGGGAAUAUUGCAGAAUGGGCGGAAGCCAGAGGCAGCAACGCCGGGUGCGGGAUGACGGGCUUCGGGUUGUAAACCGCUUUCGCCUGUGACGAAGAGGGAGUGACGGUAAUGGGUAAAGAAGCAACGGCUAACUACGUG
rnacentral:rRNA from 1 species